rnacentral:rRNA from 1 species
UACGUAGGGUGCGAGCGUUACUCGGAAUUACUGGGCGUAAAGCGUGCGCAGGCGGUUUUGUAAGGCAGAUGUGAAAGCCCCGGGCUUAACCUGGGAAUGGCAUUUGGGACUGCAAGGCUGGAGUGUGGCAGAGGAGACUGGAAUUCCUGGUGUAGCAGUGAAAUGCGUAGAUAUCAGGAGGAAUACCGAUGGCGAAGGCGGAUCGCUGGGCCUGUCCUGACGCUCAGGCGCGAAAGCUAGGGGAGCAAACAGG